UUCGGGGGACACAUCAGCGGCAGACGGGUGAGUAACACGUAGGUAACCUACCCCAGAGACAGGGAUAACGGUAGGAGACGANGGCUAAUACCGGAUGACCUCCGGAAGGAGGAAAGGCUCAGGCGCUCUGGGAGGGGCUUGCGGCCCAUCAGCUAGUUGGUAGGGUAAAGGCCUACCAAGGCGAAGACGGGUAGGGGGUGUGAGAGCACGGCCCCCCACAAUGGGACUGAAACACGGCCCAUACUCCUACGGGAGGCAGCAGGAGGGAAUAUUGCACAAUAGGCGAAAGCCUGAUGCAGCGACGCCGCGUGAGUGAAGAAGGCCUUCGGGUCGUAAAGCUCUUUUGUAGGGGAAGAGGAAGGACGGUACCCUAAGAAGAAGCGUCGGCUAACUACGUGCCAGCAGCCGCGGUAAGACGUAGGACGCGAGCGUUAUCCGGAAUUACUGGGCGUAAAGGGCCAGCAGGCGGCUUGGUAAGUUGUGCGUGAAAGCCUCGUGCUCAACGCGAGGAAGCCGGACAAUACUGUCAAGCUAGAGGGCAUCAGAGGGGAGUGGAAUUCCCGGAGUAGCGGUAAAAUGCGCAGAUAUCGGGAGGAACACCGAUGGCGAAGGCAGCUCCCUGGGAUGCACCUGACGCUAAGAGGCGAAAGCUAGGGGAGCGAACAGGAUUAGAGACCCUGGUAGUCCUAGCUGUAAACGCUGGGUGCUAGGUGUGGGACGUAGAAGUUCCGUGCCGGAGCAAACCGAUAAGCCCCCGCCUGGGAAUUCGGUCGCAGGCUAAACUCAACGAAUGGAGGGGCCCGAACAAGCAGCGGAGCGUG
rnacentral:rRNA from 1 species